rnacentral:rRNA from 1 species
CACGUAGUUAGCCGGUGCUUCUUCUACCACUACCGUCACAAAAGCUUCGUCAUGGUUGAAAGGAGUUUACAACCCGAAGGCCGUCAUCCCCCACGCGGCGUCGCUGCAUCAGGCUUGCGCCCAUUGUGCAAUAUUCCCCACUGCUGCCUCCCGUAGGAGUCUGGGCCGUGUCUCAGUCCCAAUGUGGCCGUCCACCCUCUCAGGCCGGCUACCCGUCGCCGCCUUGGUAGGCCAUUACCCCACCAACAAGCUGAUAGGCCGCGAGCUCAUCCUGCACCGAAAAACUUUCCACCACCAGUACCAACCAAUGGUCCUAUCCGGUAUUAGACCCAGUUUCCCAGGCUUAUCCCGAAGUGCAGGGCAGAUCACCCACGUGUUACUCACCCGUUCGCCACUCGAGUACCGGGUGCAAGCACCCGGCCUUUCCGUUCGACUUGCAUGUGCUAAGCACGCCGCCAGCGUCGUCUCGUAGCCACGGAGUCGAACUACU